rnacentral:lncRNA from 1 species
CUAUGCCCAAAGAACCUGCCGCCCGGAAGCAACAACUUCCAUCAAACGGCAAAGAAAAGUUCCUAGGGAGAGAGCUUAGCGCCCAAGCAGCCUGCGCUAGUGCCGAGACAGAACAGGAGAGCAGCAGACAGUGCAGGCCGGGCCAGCCUGCAGGCGGUGGCUGCGGCGGCGCUGGUAGGGCAGACCCGGGCUCCGGAAGGCUCCAGGUCCGGGGGUGGCCGCCGGCCUUGGGCACAGUGCCGGCUUUCGCACCCCUCCCCACGACCGCGAGCAGUGGGCGGAGAGAUUAGAGCAAAGGAAAAGACGGACAAUGCCUGGCCGGGCCGGCGACCUCCGUGCGGCCCCCGCCGGCCCGUCCCUACUCGGGCGGCCAGCUACCGGGCUAAGUUUCCUAAGCCCUGCCUCCAGCCCCGGCGGCGAAAGCUCGGCCGCCGCCUUCCUCCCAGCCGGGCGGUUCCCGCGAGUCUGCGAGGAGGAGGCAGCGUGCGAGCCGAGCCGGGCGCGCAAGGAGGCGGCGCGCGAGGUAAGCGGACGCGCGGGGAGCCGGCGGCGCGCGCCGAAUGAGGCCGGGCGCGCGCGGGGGGACCCGGCACGAAGAGGAAGGAGCGCGGUGGGGAGUUGGGAGCGCGGGGCUCCCCCGGGACCCCCCGCAGCUCCGACGGGGUUUCAGUUGACUCGGACUGCACCGCAGCGAGAGUCCGUUAGGAGUCUCCGCCUGGGCGCGCAGCUGGCCGACCAUCCCGGCCCGCCUCCCCCUCGCUCCCACCAGGAAGGGCAGCCGGGCGAGAGCCAGUGACCUCUCCUCCCGCCAGAGAAAAGAUUCCCUACAACAGAGAGUCACCUAGACAUGAAAGAAAUUCUGCUUCUACAACAAUUGACAAAAAGUAGACAGAUUCAUGUUUGACCACACUGGAUACUGGAUCAAGAUGCUGGAGAUAGACCUGAGAUUAAAGAACAAAGAAAUCUUAUCCACUAAACAGUAUUGAUUAGAACCAAAAUAUUUUGUCAUUGGAGGCCUUAUGUUACCCUUAAAAAUAAACUUUCGGAUAUUUUGGAUUUUUUUUUUUUGGCUUUUUGUGUGUGUGUGUGUGUGUGUGUGUGUGUGUGUGUGUGUGUUACUGGAAACUGAACCCAGGUGCACUCUACCACUGAGCUACAUCCCUAGAUUUUUCAUUCUUAAAUGGCCUUGCUAACUUGCACAAGCUGGCCUUGAAAUUGUAAUCCACCUGCCUUAACCUUCUGAGUAGCUCAUUACAGACAUUUACCACUGCUUCCAGCUUGCUUUGCAUUUUAAUUAGAAAGCUGGACAAACCAUUUGUCAUUGUUCACCAGGAAUAGUUCUACAUUAAGAGCCUAGGCUAAAUCACUCAUC